GGAAAUGGCGUGGGGCAUUGGAGUCUACGCCUUGAUGCCCGUUGCCCACCGUGCCCAUUUUGUUUGAAACUUCCGCAACGAAGCCUACAAAUCCUACCCCGCGAGUUCCAAAUCGUUUGCCAUGGAAAUUCUGAGGCGGGAAUGUUGAAACCAGAAACAGAGAAGGAACCCUAAACCAUGGCCCUCCCCUUACGGAAUGCAUAACCUUCCUUCCAUCCCCACUGCAACCUCAUUUUCCACAUGCGAACCUCCCUUUCUCGAUUAUUGAUUUGCUCCCGAAACGCCAAUGUGGUUGAAGAGCGUUAGAUGGGUCACUCUGGUUUUGGGAGUUUCCAACAUUGUCGUGAUCAUUCUCGGCGCGUUAAUUGUAUUUCUUGCUUUUCCGGCAUGCCGGCGAAGUGGUAUUCUUCCUUUCGCAUUUAUUUGGGUGGCGGCUGCUAUGAGGAUCGUUGCGAUGGUCCGAACUGGAGUUGCCCAGGAAGCCACCGCGAUGACGAUUAUUGGAUCCCCGACAAGUGCUACUGUCGACCCCGUUGUUCGUCAGGAAAGACGGAUGAGGUAUAAAAGAUGGCUCUGGUGGACCCGGUUUGCAGCAGUCAUCAUGAUACUGCAAUUUGGAGGAGCAUGUUACCUCAUGUUCAAGGUGGCUAAAUGUCUUUCCCACGAUGGAGCAUCAACUAACUGUGUUUUAGGUGUAUUUUUAAAUGGUGAAUGGUGGAAGCAAAAAAUACUGGUUGCUUUUUUGAUCAUGGUGUGUUUUGUGGCACUAGUACAAUGUUUUACGGGAUCUGAUGUUCUUAAGUGGAGGUCUUUUUAUGCCACCCAAGAUAGUGCAUGGAAGUCUCAUUACCGGGAGGUAUUUGAUCAUGGCAUUCGUGAGGCUUUGUGCUGUCUGGGACGUGCCAAAUACUUGAGUGAGUUGGAGGAAGAUGAAGUCUAUUCGGUAGCAAGAUUAUUGGGUGAUCUCGUUGCAUAUCGUGCAUCAGGCACUGGUCAUUUGGAAUUGUUGGCAGGACUAGCUUUAUUGCAGAGGCGUAGCCAGUCUCCAAGAUCAUAUGAAGGGUGUGUAGAAGUGUCUGAAGAACAGAUGCAGCAGGCUGUUGCUCUUCAUCAGUUUGCUGAAGCUGCUUAUACGGGUCCAUUACUUGAUUUUGGAAGACAUCCCGUCUUAUUUCCUUGUGCAUGGCUAUAUCGGCAAGGAAUUCUGACGUCAUGGACUCGUAAUAGGCGGCCUGUGCUUGAGGGUGAUAAUUGGUGGCGAGGUCAUGCAGCGGCCUUUUUGAAAUAUGUUAAUUUAUCUCCUGAAGUGCUUCGACGAGGGCGUGUGAGCCAGGGAAAGUGUGAAGCUACAUAUUUUAUCGUGGUUUUACAUCAUCUACGAUCUGUAGUGAUUGCUGUGCGAGGAACUGAGACUCCUGAAGACCUCAUUACUGAUAGUCUAUGUAGGGAAUGCAUCCUUUCAGAGGAAGACUUGGAUGGUUUGAUAAACAGCAGUUGUAUUUGCCCCAAUGUAAGGAAAAGUGUGGUCUCUUCUUUUCCACACUAUGCUCACUCUGGUAUUGUUGGGGCUGCUCGGGAUCUUUUUAUGCAAAUUGAUGGCAAUCCUGGAGAUAAUGGUGGAUUCCUUUCCUCAUUGAUGGGAGUUGGAUGUGAAUGUGAAGGGUAUAAUAUUCGCAUAGUGGGUCAUUCAUUAGGAGGUGCAAUUGGUGCAUUGCUAGGACUGAGGUUAUAUGGAAGAUACCCAAACUUACAUGUGUAUACAUAUGGGUCCCUUCCAUGUGUGGAUUCAGUCAUAGCAGAUGCUUCUUCAAAAUUUGUUACAAGCAUUGUAUACCACAAUGAAUUUUCUGCGCGUCUUUCAGUGAGAUCAAUCUUAAGGCUUCGUGCUGCUGCAAUUAAGGCACUAUCCGAAGAUAGCAGAACCGAUACAGCCAUGAUUUUUAGACUUGCACGGCGUUUUCUAUAUGUUAGCAAGUUAGAAGGAUCUACAAUCGAGGAAAAGGAUCCAGCUUCGGAUUUACAUUCUGCAACUGUUGAGGACAUGCACCUUGACGCAUUUAAGCGUCCAUUUCCAGAUGAGAGGCUGAGGACUUCCACUCCUAGGGUACAAGAUGAAGAGUUUUCCAUUUGGAAAGAGGCUGACAUGAAAGAUAGUUCUGACUACAUUGAUUCUGAUGAUUCACUGGAUGAAUUCACCAAUCCCUUUCAUGAAACUGCUGCAAAUGUUAUUUCAUUUGAUAAUCCAGUCUCUCAGUUCAUGGAAGCUGUUCCAUCAUCUGGAAAUGGCUCAGCUGGGGAUCCCAUAGAGAUGUUUCUACCAGGCCUUAUCGUUCAUAUAGUACCACAGGAGAGAAGUUUUCAUAUGCAUCUGUGGAGAGGCUGGAGAGUCCAAGAGCAUGCACAAGGUUACAAAGCUUACAUAGUGAACAGAGAAAACUUCAAAGAUAUCAUUGUGUCACCUUCUAUGUUCCUUGACCAUCUCCCUUGGAGAUGUCACUAUGCUAUGCAGAAAGUAUUGGAGAAUCGAACUGUCCACAGUUUGCUUGAUGUACCUCAAUUGGUGUGAAUUCUUGGGUGGGUCUUCCAUUAGUUCAAUGAUAUUCAAAACAUGGGGGUCUCCUGUUUGGUUCCUUCAAGUGCAGCAGUUUAUUCUCUGCUAUUCUGGGUGGAGCUGUGAGCCUAAAAUUCAGGCAAUGUGGCCAAAGAGAUUGCUAAAAAUUGCAGAUUAGCCGUUGUCUGAGCUCCAGUGCCUCAUGUAUUCCGGAAUAUAGAAAACAUCUGUAUAGUUGUACAGUCAAUUAGCUGCUCAAUGCAUUACAUGUAUAAAAAUUUCUUGUUAUUCUCUUGGUAGAGUCCUGCUGCUCUUUGUGAAGGAAAAGGACCUGGAGAAGAGGAAAACCAUGGACAGUAGCAGGGCACAUGGUGGUCUAUAUUUGCUGGACAUUGGUCAUCCUUGAUUAGAGGCAACUGGAGCACGUUAAGUGCUUGAACAGAACAUCACCCUGGCAUUGGUGAUGUGGGCAUCCUUGUUUUAGUGCGCGAGACAAAUUGUUUCCUAUUUUUAUCUGUGAUGCUUGUGAGUGUGCAAAGCAUAAACUCUAUGAAGCUUGCGUACAAAUACAGUGCUGGGUACAGAUUGAGCCUAUUUGUAAUUUUAAAAUAAUUAGAGCGGGAUUUUAUGUUCAUGGGUUAGAAAAUAUGGCCUUGAGGCCUUAUUUCCAAAGGCAAACAUGAAAUCUAAAGGCUGUCUCUUUGUGCUGAGUCAGGGUGAUCCAAUGAAGCCUUCUCUUCAUGCGAA